GGCGCCAUAGCCAAGUGGUAAGGCAGAGGUCUGCAAAACCUUUAUCACCGGUUCGAAUCCGGUUGGCGCCUCCA
rnacentral:tRNA from 1 species